UUGUGCCGAGUACAAGUCUUGGAAACCUUCCUUAGGACUCUUCUUUGACCUUUUUUUUUGUAGCCCGUACUUCCCCAGAGUGAUUUUUCUAUAGUGUUUCAUGUUGUUGGUGAAAUCCCUUACUUCCAAAUCUCAUAUGGCCUUUUGUUUGUCUAUAGUUCAGGUCGGAAGUGUCUACUCUUACGGAUGAGGUUUUUGGAAGUACUAGUAUGGAGUUUAUUUCCACCGACUUAUUUCUUCUUAUCACUUCAAGUCAACUCCUCUAUCUUCUGAGGAAGUAAAGAUGAAAGAGGAUUUACGCAUUUAUCAGGGGCUAGGUUAUGAAGAAGGAUUUGGCCCGGUGAAGUAUUUUCUUUUCAUAAAAAGAAAAGGCAAAUAGAUACUUAUGUGAUCAUUAUGUGAUCAUUAGUGUGUCUGAUCAUACAGAGAGACAAAAAUUCUCUGGGGAGGAUGGAGAUUUGAGCGUCAUUUUUUUAACAGUAUAGCUUGUGUCUUAAAGAUAACAUGGAUCAGUUGAGUCAAUUACAAAAAGCUCUGGCAUUUCCCAAUUAUUAGGGUCUUAUAACUGACUUGUCUGUCCGGGAAACCGGUGACACUUGUUGUUGCUUCUACUUUUUCUCCGGAGGCUCAAAUGCCUGUUGUGGUGGUUGCUCCGGCAGUAAUUGAGACUUCUAUCCCGACCACUGCUCUUGAGGUGGGUCAGCCGAUCACUAGGGCAGUUGGUAUUUCUGUUCGGUCCCUUAAAAUUUCUUUCGCAUUGAAUCCCAAAUCUAUUUGGAGGUUUCUUUGUUGAGAAUCAUCUUCAAAGGUGCUUGAUCCAUGGCCUGAAACAAGUAGUUAUUUACUUUAAGAACCUUGAGUUUCAAUGCCUCUAGUUCUACCUUCUGCGCAACUCUCCGAACUGCUCCCUUGGCAGGCGAGGAAUUGCAACCAGCAGAAAAUUCUCGUUGAAAAUUUCCGUUGAUCUACAACUAAUAUUAUUCUCUCAAAUCUCACUAUGUUUCACUCAGAUUUUUCUCUAAAUUAACUUGAUCCAAUACCACUAUUAACUUAGACUACAACGAGGCACCAAAAAUGUUGUUUUUAUUAAAUGAUUAGUUAAAAUAAUAAUGAUUGCAAAUUUAUCGUAUAAGAAGAAGAUAUGUUCUGGAAAUUAUCUAUUUUCCCUACUGCAUUCAUAUGUUGCCACGUAUCCUCUUCUUCCCCAACCCAUGUGCUUGUUUGUUUACGAAAAACCCCUUCCUUACUUCCUAUUCUUUCAUUUCUCUUUCUUCUUCUUUUCUCUCUCUUUGUGUUUCUUCUUCUUCUUCCUUCACUGAAACUGCAUUUAUUUAAUUUACCUUAUCCACAACGAUGGGUCGACCUUUUGAGAUGAUAAAGGACAUCACGAAAAAGAAGAAGUUGUGGAAAGUUGCGGGGUUCAUCACAAAUGGAGAUUAUGAUUUAGUUUGUUGGAAUCAAAACCACCAGAUCUGAAAUCAACACUUAUCUUCUUCAUACUUACGAGUUGUGAACUGCUGCAGUCAUUCUCCAAGACGCAUAACCAAUCUCAUAAGCAAUCAAAUUCUUAGCACGUAGGUGCUUUAGAUUCACAAAAGCAGAUUGUUGCUACAAAGUUCAAGGUAUGGCUUUCUGCUCUAUGAGGCUUACACAUCUCAAGAUCCAUUGAGUGUCUCAGUUGUUGUUUUGCCACAAUUUAAUAUCCCUCCUGAAAUGUAUCAAGUUGGAUUCACCAAACUGUAUCUUCGAACAGAGAAGGACUAUUGCAUCCGUAUUUAUUGUCAAUGAGAUUAAACAGUGAGAAACAAAGGAUGGUUGAGAUACGGAAGGAACUUCGACCUCGGUCCUAUAGAAUUAAGGCAA